UCACCAUCCAAUGUAAUUGAUAGAGUUGGCAGCACGGGAAUAAUGAAUAUUGUUUGGUGGGGUAUAAUGAGCUUCAGUGGACCAGGACUCUGAGGAGCAGACGGAAAUUAGGAUACUAGGAUACUACAGUGCGUUCCUUACUCCAAGCAGC